AAAGUGGAGCUAAUACCGCGUUAACAUUGCGGGGAGGCAUCUCCUUGCAAUUAAACUUACGGGGAUCCGGGAUGGGCAUGCGUCUGAUUAGCUAGUUGGUGAGGUAACGGCUCACCAAGGCGACGAUCAGUAGGGGAACUGAGAGGUUGAUCCCCCACACUGGCACUGAGAUACGGGCCAGACUCCUACGGGAGGCAGCAGUAGGGAAUAUUGGGCAAUGGUCGGAAGACUGACCCAGCCACGCCGCGUGCAGGAGGAAGGCCCUCUGGGUUGUAAACUGCUUUAGCAGGGGAAGAAAAGGCCCAUGCGUGAGAGAUUGACGGUACCCUGAGAAUAAGCACCGGCUAACUACGUGCCAGCAGCCGCGGUAAUACGUAGGGUGCAAGCGUUGUCCGGAUUUAUUGGGUUUAAAGGGUGCGUAGGCGGCUUGUUAAGUCAGUGUUUAAAUUUUGCAGCUCAACUGUAGGUAAGGCAUUGAUACUGGUGAGCUUGAAUAUCAGAGAGGUAGCUGGAAUUUAUGGUGUAGCGGUGAAAUGCAUAGAUACCAUAAGGAACACCGAUAGCGGAGGCAUGUUACCAUUUGAUGAUUGACGCUGAGGCACGAAAGUGUGGGGAUCAAACAGGAUUAGAUACCCUGGUAGUCCACACUGUAAACGAUGAUUACUAGAUGCCGGGCAGUUGUGUUCGGUGUUCAAGCGAAAGCGAUAAGUAAUCCACCUGGGGAGUACGACCGCAAGGUUGA
rnacentral:rRNA from 1 species